AACCCGAGGCCCGGCCUGGGGCGCGGCUGCUGGGCGCUAGGCCCGCGACGCUGAGGUGCGCGCGCCCCGGGCGGGAGGAGGGGCUGCACCGCCUGGCGAAUGGGAGGGGGACUGGCAGGCUCUCCCUUCCCAAGGGAGGUCGUCCUGUCGCCCUAGACUAAACCCAGGAAGGCUUUUAAAAGAAGCAGAGUCUCCGCGGGGGGAAGCUUGUUCCCUGAGAGGUGGCCGCAGACGAACCCACUGCUCAGUCUGGCAUCCCGAAGCCGCUCCGCUCCUGGCUCUCCCCGCUGUUCCUGCGCGCAGCGGGGGCAGUGCCCCCACACCCACGCGUGAUGGGAAGGCCGGCCUGGGGGUGGGAAGGCCCACCGAAAUAGAUGGUCCCCACACCUCACUGCUUCCUUGGAUGUGGCUAUUUUUUAUGCCAGUGUUCUCCUGCUCUGACCCUACUUGAACUUGACCGCAACCGGCCCCGCCUUGCAGGCCACCCUCCCGCAGCAGAAAACUGUGCGGAGCUCGCGCUGUCCUCGCCUCCGCUGACCCCACCUCCAUGUCCUCACAGACACUAUUUUUUCACAACACAGCUCAGAUCCCACCUUCUUCAUGAGGUUAUUCAACAAACACUAUUAAACUUGUAAGAUGUACCAGAUCCUGAGUUGGAGGCUGAGAGGAGGACAAGAAAACUGCUCCCGUAGCCUAGAGGGAGGGAGAGUCGCUUAAACCACCUGAUGCAGAAUGCUGAGUGCGGAGACCAGGAGGGAACAUCGGGUGGUGAUGGCCUCCAUGAUCCCCCAGAGAAAGGGUGUGACUUGAGUGCCUUCUUCCUCUGUGCUCCCCAGGGAGCAGCAGCAUCAGAGUGCUCCCAGGGUGCCAAAGGGACACACUGGACCAACUGGAGACCCUGGGCCCCCUGGAUUCACAGCUGACAAUGGAUUGAGGUGGGUAUAGAAGAAGUCAAGGAAAAGCCCCUGUCAUGAAGAGUUGGAUGGAGACAGGCACAGAGUGGCCGCAGGUCCAAGCAGAGUGAACAUGCGUCCAAACUGGCAGUGGCAGCCCCUAGAAGGGAGACACCAACAGCACCGAGAUCUGUGGUCUCCAGAGCUGACAUCUCCUGCACUUGCCACGUGCAGGCGCUGUGCGGGACCUCCUCUCCAUCCUGUGAGGGUCUCCCUGAACUCAGGGUCCCAAUGGAUUUCCUGGCCCCAAAGAGCCCCUGGGCACCCUGGGAAUGACAAGCUGCCGGGACACUCAGGCCAGAGAGGAAAGGUGGGUGUCCAUGGGGUUCAAGGGAAGGAUGUUCCUGGUCUGAGGGGCUUCCCAGGAGAGAGAGGCCUCCUAGGCACUGCUGGUUCCCCCCUAGGGAGUGAGGUGCAGCAGGAUCAAGGGACCCAUUGCCCCCCGCCAGGGUGCCCAGGCCCUCAGGAACCCCCUGGAUCAGCAGGAGAGACAGGUGUCCCAGGUGAAAAGGGCCCCAUUUGUCUGCCUGGCUGUGAUAGGGUGCAGAGUCCUGUGUGACUUCCUGGUCCUGCUGGGCCUCCAGGUGUGGCUGGAGAAGAUGGAGACCAAGAGGAGAACCCCAGAGAACCCGACCAAUCUUCUCUCCACAUGAGAGGGCUGAGGGCCCUCCUGGACCCCCUGGACUCACUGGUCCAUGGAACAGCCUGUAGCAGUGGGAGCAGAUUGGGAGCCCAGAGCUCAGGGACCCCAGGGACACUUUGGAGCCAGAGUGUGGGGAGCCAAAGGCAAUAAAGGGACUACCUGGACCCAGUGGCACUGGUGGUCCACAAGAUCCCCUGGGAGGUGUUGGGGCCCUGGGUCCCCCUGGAGAGAAGCCAGGAGAGUCAGGAUCUCCAGGAAUCCAGGGUGAGCCGGGUGUCAGGGUCUUGGUUUUCCUGGAGACCCUGGCCCCCCAGGAGAAGGUGGCUCAUGACCAGGACAGUGUUAACGGUGACUAUGGCAAGGAUGGUGAGCCAGUACAGCCCGUGAGUGACCAAUGUCCCUGCCACCCCCACUGAGCUCCAGCCUUCAGCCCCUUACCCCUCUUUUCUGUGCCCUACUCCUGAGGGGUCCCUUAGCUGGAGGCCAACACUCACCCACCCCAAUUCCUCUCAUUCUGUGGAUCCUCUGGUCCCACUGGGGAGAAUGGACUACCUGGACCACAUGGAAAGCAGGGUCAGCUAAGAAUAGCCAUGACUCAAGGGUCAGCUAAGAAUAGUCAUGACUCAAGGGUCAUUUAGGACACAGGAAGAUACCAGAUGAGGAAACUCUCCCCAAGUCCUAAACUCAUUCACAAAUUAGAACACAUAGGUCCAGCCCAGGCACAGUGGCUGAAGCCUGGAAUCCUCCCGCUUCCUGCUUCGGGAGACCAAGGCAAGAGGAUCUCUCGAAGUGUGAGUUGGAGGCCAGCUUGGGCGACACAAUCAGGAAAAGCAAGUGGCCACCAGGUGGCGCCCAAGAACUGGGCCCGAGUUCCCUGGGAGGAAUCUGCACGCAGCCCUGGGAUGGCACAGGGAUGCCUCACGGGACACCUGGCCUCGUCCUGGUAGCCCCUUGCUUGCAUUUCCCGGCCCUGGGGUGUCCUCCCCGACUGCACAUGCAUGUAGAGACCAUUCCUCCUUCUCCAAAGAGGGAUUUGGAACAAUUCUCACAUGACCUGACGAGGGACAGUGGCUGUGCUCAGGGUCCCUCUUUUGUCCUCAGAGCAUGACCAGGCCUGUGGCUCUUGCUCAUUGCCCAAGAGCAUGGGAGGUUGCCCGUGGCAAGGCCCUGGAGGACCCUGCUGUGCUGCCUGGGACCAGGAGGCCCGGCUGCCUUCUCCCAGCACCUCUCCCAGUUAGGGUACUGUGCAGGAAAUGGGUGCAGAGGCCAUAGUGGUGGCUGCUCCUGGGGUCCCAGCAGCUCUAGCUGAGGCAGGAGGAACCAGGGAGCCCAGGAGGCUGAGGCCCCUGUCCUACUGCUCUGGUCGUGCUGCAGUCUCUGUCACCACCAACAACUGCAGUGAGGUGAGCCACUGGGCUGCAGGCUCUAGCCUCCAGCCUGUGACAGAUGCCUCCUCUUUCUGACUCCUCCUGUAGCAGGGCACGGAGAAGCUCUCGCUCAUCGCUGCCUCCUACCACUCCGAACAUGCUGCAGUCUCGUUGACCACGCUGCAGUCUUGGUGGCCACCACCAACUGCAGGGAGCCUGGCCAGGUGCCGCAAGUUGCAGCCUCCACCUCCUCCUCUAAGUCGGGCUUGGAGCAGCAGCGGGAGCAGUCACAGAAGAGGCUGGAAUGGUGGAAUGCACCCUCAGUAUGCAUUAUAUAUAGAGGUUUCGGCAAUGAGGGCCUGGACUUUGUGUUCUGAUUGGAUGGGGGAAACCUCUAGGCUUUAUCUUCAUGCCCUGAUUGGUUAUCCUAAGAGUUGCUCUCAUCCAGUCUUCUUUAUAAGUGGUCAUCUUUGUAAGUUCAUGCCCACUGGGAGUUACUGAAGUUGUGAAUGAUUACAUUUAAACUUAUCCUGUAAUUUUAGUCUGAUUUAUUAAUUCCACCUAUCUCCUUAAGCAAAUUAUUCUCUAUAGUGAUGACCCAAGCAAAUUCCUGUCCCAAGAUGGUAUCAAGAUGAUACCCAAGUUCCUCUCCAGAAUGGUAUCUGGAUAUAUGUGGAGGGAAAUAUUUUUUCUAGGCCUGUAUUAAAUAUGGCACUAAAGCUUAGUGGCUUAAAACAAUACACUGUUAUUAUCUCACAGCUUCUGUGAAUAAGUAGUUCAGGAGAGUGUAGCUGGGUGAUUCUUGCCAAGAGUCUCAUAAGGUUGCAGUCAAUCUGUUGGUGAGAAUUGUAGUUACUUGAAGACUUGGAGUUGAAGAAUUUAUAUCAAAGAUGGCUUACUUAUGGCAAUUGGAUGGAAGCCCCAGUUUCAGAAUGGCUGCUGGCAACAGGUCUUUUUACUUGCCACAUGGACCUCUCCAUAGGCUGACUGAAUGUCCUCCCAAUGUGUCAUCUGGCUUUCUCCAGUGCAAAAGAUCAAAGAAGAGAGUAUGAAGGAACCCGUAAUGCUCUUUAUAAUUUUGUCACAGACCGUCACUUCUGCCAUACUCUAUUGUUUAGAAGUUAGUCAUUAAGUCCAGCCCACACUCAAAAGAACGAGAAUUAACCUCCACCUUUGGAAGAGAGGCUAGUCAAAGCACUUGUGGACAUGUUUUGAAACCACAAAGGGGUAUGGCUGCCAGUCUCCAAGAUGGCCGCCAGUGAUUCUCAUCAGCUGUUAUUAAUACAUUUGUAUAGUCCCUUCCCACAAGAAAAAAGAGUUGAUCUGUUUAAUUAGUAUUAUUUUGUUGAAAUGACAGAGUCUGACUUGCAAGUUUAGGUCAUAAGAAGAAUUUUGACUUCUGCCUUAUUCUCUAUUGGAUCAAUAUCCCUAGGGGAAGCUAGAUGCAAUGUCAUGAAAUCAUUCAAACAGUCCCAUGGAACAAUCCAUCUAGCAAGGAACUGAUAUCUCCUAGCAAUAGCUGGCAUUAACUUACAAGUCGUAUGAGUGGGCCAUCUUAGAAUUGGAUUCUUCAGUCCAAAUCAAGUCUUCAGAUAACUGUAGCCCUGGCUGACAUCUUGAUUACAUCCUCAAGAGAGACCCUGAGCCAGAAUCACUCAGUUAAGCCACUGAGUUCUUUUUGCCAAAAACUUUUUUUUUACCAAGUUCUUUUUGCCACCAACUUUAUUGAGGUAUAAUUGACAAUUAAGAUUGUAUAUAUUUAAGGAAUACAACUUGAUGAUUUGAUAUACACAUACAUUGUGAAAUAAUCGUGAUAAUUAGGUUAACAUAUUCAUUACUUCACAUAAGUACCAUUUUCGUGUGUGUGUGUGUGUGUGUGUGUGUGUGUGUGUGUGUGUGUGGUGAGAACACAUGAGAUGUAUCCUCUUAGAAAAUUUCAAGUAUACAAUAUAUUAUUGUUAACUACAGUCAUAUUAUUGUAUACUAUGUCUCCAGAACUUAUUCACCUUGCGUAACUGAGAUGCUGUACCCUUGACCAAUGUCUCCCCCUUUUCUUCUCCCUCCAGCCCCUGGUAACUACCCUUCUACUUUCCAGUUCUAUACAUUUGACUCUUUUAGAUUCCACACAUAAGUCAAAUUUUUGACCCUUAGGAGCUGGGUGAAUAAUAAAUAUUUAUUGUUAUUUUCAGCCUUAUGAUUUUAAGUUAAUUUGUUAUGCAGUAAUAGAAGUUGCCACAUGAAGCUAUGACACUGGUUAACUCAUUUAUUCAGUAAACAUUUGCUAAGAGCAGACUAAGUGCCAGGAUCAAUUUUAUAAUUGGGGGUACAGGGUUAAGUCAAAAUGGCAGACUAGAAGCAGAUCAUGUGCACUGCUGUCAUGGAGAGGAAACAAAAUGGCUAGUGAACACUGAUCUUGCCAUGUGAUCCCCUAAGAAACCACAUCAGCAUCCAUGAAGGCAGCAAGGGGACACAGAGAGGAGAGAGGAGUGAAGCUGAGCAGCCCAUCUGUGAUCAGCAUGGAGCUAGAAGAAGCUCCCAAACAUAGGGAAAGAACGGAUUUUCGCUCUUGUCGGCCGGGCUGGAGUGCAAUGGCGUGAUCUCGAUUCACUGCAACUUCCGCCUCCUGGGUUCAAGUGAUUCUCCUGCAUCAGCCUCCCAAGUACCUGGGAUUACAGGCAUGUGCCACUAUGCCCGGCUAAUUAUUUUUGUAUUUUCAGUGGAGAUGGGGUUUCACUAUGUUGGUCAGGCUGGUCUUCAACUCCUGACCUCAAGUGAUCCACCUGCCUCGGCCUCCCAAAGUGCUCACAGGCGUCAGCCACUGCACCCGGCCCCACACAUCCGAAUUCUACCAGAUGUACAAAGAAGAACUGAUACCAAUUCUAUUGAAACUUUUCCAGAAAAUCGAGGAGGAGGGGCUUCUCCUUAACUCAUUCUAAGAAGCCAGCAUCAUCCUGAUACAAAAAUCUGGCAGAGACACAAUGAAAAUGAAAAACUUCAGGCCAAUAUCCUUGAUAAACAUAGAUGUAAAAAUCCUCAACAAAAUACUAGCAAACCAAAUCCAGCAGCACAUCAAAAAGUUAAACCACAAUGAUCAAGCAUACUUUAUUUCUAGGAUACAAGGUUGGUUCAAAAUAUGCAAAUCAACAAAUGUGAUUCAUCACUAAGCAGAACUAAAGACAAAAACCAUAAGGUCAUCUCAAUAGAUGCAGAAAAAAGCCUUUGGUAAAAUCCAACGUCCCUUCAUGAUAAAAACUCUCAACAUAUUAUGCUGAGAGUUCAACAUAUAAUAUUGAAGGAAUAUACCUCAAAAUUAUAAGAGCCAUCUAUGACAAACCCACAACCAACAUCAUACCGAAUGGGCAAAAGCUGGAACCAUUCCCUUUGAAAAUUGGAACAAGACAAGGAUUCCCACUCUCACCACUCCUAUUCAACAUAGUAUUGGAAGUCCUGGUCAGAUAAAUCAGGCAAGAGAAGGAAAGAAAAUGCAUAUGAACAGGAAAAGAAGGAGUCCAAACUCUCUCUUUGCCAAUAUUAUUCUACACCAAGAAAACCCUAAAGACUCUGCCAAAAGGCUUCUGGAAAUGAUAAACAAAUUCAGUAAAGUUUCAGGGUACAAAAUCAAUAUACAAAAAUCAAUAGCAUUUUUAUACAUCAAUAACAUUCUACCUGAGAACCAAAUCAAGAACACAAUCCCAUUUACAAUAGCCACAAAGGAAAUGAAAUACCUAUGAAUUCAUCUAACCAAGGAAGUGAAAGAUCUCUACAAGGAGAACUACAAAGCACUGCUGAAAGAAAUCAGAGACUAUACAAAUAAAUAAAUGGAAAAAUGUUCCAUGCUCAUGGAUUAGAAUGAUCAAUAUAGUUAAAAUGGCCAUACUGCCCAAAGCAAUUUACAAGUUCAAUGCAAUUCUUAUUAAAAUACCAACAUCAUUUUUCACAGAAUAAGAAAAACCUAUUCUAAAAUUCAUUUGGAACCAAAAACAGAGCCCGAAUAGCCAAAGCAAUUAUAAGAAAAAAGAAAAAAAAGCCAUAGGCAUCAUAUUGCUUGACUUCAAACUCUACUACAGUAUACAGCUACCGUAAUCAAAACAGCAUGAUACUGGUACAAAAACAGACAGUGGAACAGAAUGGAAAACCCAGAAAUCUACCUGCACACCUACAACCAUCUGACAAAAUCAACACAAAUAAGCAGCAGGGAAAGGAGUCUCUAUUCAAAGAAUGGUGGUGGAAUAUCUGCCUAGGCAUAUGCAGAAAAAUAAAACUGGACCCCUAACUCUCACCAUACUCAAAAAUGAACUCAAGAUGGAUUAAAGAUUUAAAUCUAAGAUUACAAACUAUAAAAAUCCUAGAAGAAAACCUAGGAAAUACCCUUCUAGACAUGGGCUUUGGCAAAUGAUUUAUGCUAAGUCCCCCAGAGCAAUUACGACAAAACCAAAAAUUGAUAAUUGGGGCCUAAUUAAACUAAAGAGCUUUUGCACAGCAAAAGAAAUUACCAACAGAGUAAACAGACAGCCUACAAAAUGGGAGAAAAUACUUGCAAACUAUGCAUCUAAGGUCUAAUAUCCAGAAUUUACAAGGAACUUAAAUCAAUGAGAAAAAAAAACCAAUUAAGGAAUGAGCAAAGGACAUGAACACUUUUCAAAAGGAGACAUACACAUGGCCAAAACAAACAUAAAAACAUGCUCAACAUUACUAAUCAUCAGAGACAUACAAAUCAAAACCAAGAUGAGGUACUAUCUCACACCAGUUAGAAUGGCAAUUAUUUAAAAAGUCAAAAAAUAACAGCCGUCGGCGAGGCUGCAGAGAAAAGAGAAUGCUUAUCUACUUUUGGUGGAAAUGCAAGCUAGUUCAGCCACUGUGCAAAGCUGUUUGGAGAUUUCCCAAAUACCUUAAAACAGAACCACCAUUCAGUGCUGCAAUCCCGCUACUGGGUAUAUACCCAAAGGAAAAUAAUUCAUUCUAUCAUCAAGACAAAUGCACCUGUAUGUUCAUUGCAGCACUACUCACAAUAGUAAGGACAUAGAAACAACCUAAGUGUCCAUCAACAGUGGACUGGAUAAAGGAUAUGUGGUACACAUACACCAUGGAAUACUACACAGCCAUAAAAAGGAAUGGAAUCAUGCAUGUCCUUUGCAGCAACAUGGAUGGAGCUGGCGGCCAUUAUCCUAAGUGACCUAAAAGAAGAACGGAAAAUCAAAUAACACAUGUUCUCACUUACAGGUGGGAGCUAAACACUGAAGAC
rnacentral:lncRNA from 1 species